rnacentral:lncRNA from 1 species
GAUUAUUAUGCUAAAUUAUUUUGAGAAAAGAGAGAACCUACAAAGCUUGCUUGAUUCAUGACCAAUUUAUGUAUCUUCCAAAGACAUUAAAGAGUUAUUAAUUUGGGGCUUGUAAAAGGUAACUCGUACUUUGUUGAACAAUUUACAUUGCUUUGCAUGAUUUAUCUUCAACUCUCUCUUCUCCCUCCAAAGGUCAAAUCUACAUUGUUAUAUUGCAUUUUUUUAAUACUUUUACAAUAUUUUUUUAUGCCAAACAUCAAUUUUUUUUGCAAAGGAUACUUGGAGCUCUUUGUAAUGAGUAAGAAUCACUGUAUAGGUGCUACAAGUAUUAGUGCCCUUAAGAAUCCAUCUUAAGGUUGGUCUAAAUUUGUGGUUUUGAGUGAUUCCACAAUUCCCGCGUAAUUUUAUUCCGAAUUAUGAUUAUUCAAGUUUAUUGACUUGCAUAAGCAUAAUUACCUCUUCUAAGGGUGACGAUCGCAUUUCUAAUAUUAUUUUUAUCUCAUAUUAGUUUGUAGAGUGUCUGAUUGGUGCUGAGGUGGCCACGAACCUCUCAGCUCUCAGUCGAGGUGCUUUUGAUGUAUCAUUGUUUUGACUGAAAAUCCAAAAUAACAUUUUUCGAAUAUUGUGACACACUUCCAGCUAUUGGAUUUCAAUUCCUGAAAGUGAUUAUAACCUCCUACCAAAAAAUAAAUGGUCUCAUAGUAUACAAUCCCUACUAUAAAAAAGUGGGACUUGAGUAAAAUAUGAAUCAUAAGGGACUAUUUUUAUUUUCUAAAAAUAAAACAAGAUUUUUCUAUAAAUUUCAUUUUUUUCUCUUUUUUCUUUUUGAGUUGAUCAAUGGAAGAAUAAAAUAUAUUAAAUCUAGAUAUGUUUGCAAACUUUGGGUUUCAAAGAUGCUCUCAAGAGUGUUUUUGGGGCUUCAUUUACAUUAUAGAAAUGGACAAAAUGGAUAGUGUUUGCAAGUUCUUGAUGUUGAUUCUUCCUUUCCGUUGCUUUGUCUCACAGUCUCUCCAGAUCUACUCUUCUUCUCUCUCUCUCUGGAUCUGCUCUCCCCCCCCUCCCCCUUGUUGUUGUUCCUCCUGACUUACUAUUGCUCCCUCUCCCUCUCCCCUCCCCCACUCUCUCUCUCUCUCUAAAUAUGUUGUCUCUCUCUCUCUGUAGUAUAAUCACUUUGUUAUUGUUUGCCUUCAUUGUGGCUACAUCAUCUCUCAGAUUUUACUUCACUAACCUUUCUCUCUCCUUCUCAGACCUAUCUUUCUCUCUCUCUCUCUCUCCCCUUUCUCUCACUACCCUCUGCCCCACUCUACUUCCCCCUAAGUCUUUUUCUCUAACUUCUUUCGCUCUUCCUCUUCCCAUAGACACACACAUACACACACACACACACACUCUCUCUCUCUCUCUCUCUUUGUUUUCUCUUUUGUUGUCGUUUUUGUUUUCUUAGCUCCAAUCUGUAUGUGUGUGUCUGUGUUUUUCUCUUUUUGUUUUCUCUUUUACUCCGUUCUUUAAUUUCUUAGCUACAAUUUCUCUUUUGCCUUCCUCUAGCUCCCUAUGUUUUCUUCCUAGUCAAACUCCUUUUCUUCUGUUUAGGAGAGAGGUAGAAUGGAAUGUAUUUUUGAGGAGCGGGGGCUACUGCCUCUUUUCACUUUUCAUCUCUUUUUGCUUCAACCCUUCUACCUCCCAUCCCCUUUUCCUAUCCAUAUCCUUCUGCCCCUUCUCAUUUUUCAUUGAUGUCCUCUCUUUGGUUUCGACAACUUUCUCUUUCCUUUGACUCUUUAUCUGCCAAAGUAGGUAAUACCUAAGAUGAGAUUCUUCCCUAUUUAGCAUUUGGUAUCCUAACAUGGGUUUUUUAUUGAACCUUUGGAGUUUUCUUCGAGGCAGAGCGUUUUUUAGGAGUGGGGGCUUAUGCCUCCUUUCACUUUUCAUCUCUCUUUGCUUUAUGUCUUCCACCGCUCAUCUCCUUUUCUUAUCCUUAUCCUUCUGCCCCUUCUAACUUUUCAUAGAUGUCAUCUUUUUGGCUUUUGAGAUCUUUUCCUUUCCAUCGACUUUAUCUUCCAAAGUAGGAAACACUUAAGAUAGGAUUCUCCCUUCUAUUUAGGAUUCGGUAUCCUGACAUGGUGCUUUUAUCGAGCCUUUGGGGUUUGCUUCAAGGGCUUUGGUUACCUUUGUAUUUGGCUAUUAGGUUAAUGACUAAGAUGGAGCAUGGCCUAUCAUUGGGCUGGACGGAGUCUUAUCGUGAUUUUUUCAUGUUCCCUUUAAGGGCCCCAAAAUUCUUGUAAGCAAAUAUUGUUUCUUUGAGGAGUUGUCAGAGAUGGCGUCCUCCACAUUCUCUUUCUUAGAUCCCACUUCUCUUCACUUUAGUCGUUUUGUUUGACUAUUCAUCCCUUAACCUCUUCAUCUCCUCUUCUCCUUGGAUUAAUCUUUUAAUCCUACUUUACAAUCGCUAGUUAUGCACUGCCACCCUCCUAUAUGCCACUAUGUUUUUUUUGUUGUUCAUUUGGGCGUCAUCUUUAGUGCAAUAUGUCUGCCACCUUAAACUCGACGUGUGAGGUGAUUGCAGAAGGGAAGGCACUGAUGGCAUGUCUCUUUGAGAAGUCUGGGUUGGUUUGUGGAGGUCUAAUAGUAUCAACACCCCAUUUUGAAAUUGGCUAUUUUUUUUUAAUUUCCUAGACUCUAAAUCUGAAAAAUCCAUAGGAAAAUGUAUUAGAAAUGCUUAAUAAACCCCUAUGGACUACAUAAUUAUAAUACACCCAUGUCUACCAUUCCUAUUGUCCAUCGUCCCCCUAAUCAUAGCCUCAAACUUUUAGAAACCCUAGGAAAUAUCCUAUAAAUCCUAAAAACCAUACGAAAUUAUCCUCAAACCCUAAGAUACAGGAAACCCAGACUUUUGGAUAGGUGCCAAGCUUGAAGUUGGAUAAAUAUCCAUAAGAAAGGGGACAAAAUAUCGAGAAGAUAGAACUACCGAAAAAACAAACCGAAAUCAAUCUUAGAUGGCUGAUGGUGCGAAUCUAGUCCAGAAAGCCUUGAAAUGAUGGAGGAUUCGUCGUCUAACUUUUAGGACCAAAAAAACAUUGUCAUUGAGCUAUAGAACCCGAUAUGCUUAAGGGUUUCCCUUUUAACCCAAGUCAACCGUAAACGGCGGAGGGUCCAGCAUCCACCAACUUAAUUUCAGUUAGCUCGAAAUUUUGAGAUAAACACAUUAGUUAAGAACCCAAACCAUGUUGAAACCACCUUAGAAACCUAUAAAAAGACCCUAAUUCAGGUCAUUGAAGAUGCACCCAUUCUUAGAAAGAAAAACCUUAGAACUAUAAAGCCUUAAUCCCUUGAGAGAACAAACAAAAAUUUUCCAAACCCUAGAUCAGAGAUAACUUAGCUUAGAAAAUUAUAAACCCUAACCUUAAGCAUUUUAGCCUUCGAAUCUUAGGUCCUACAAAAACCUAAUAUUUGAUAAACGUAACUAAACCCUAAAAUCUUAAUCUUCCUUCAAAACUUGUUCUUAGUCAAAUUUUAAUUAAUUUCAGUGUUCAAUUAGUCAAAUUUGAAGAGAAAAUAUAAGGAAAAAAUGUGUAAACAUCAUGCGGUCUUCAUUUGGGCGACAAGUUCGAGUUUCAGGCAUCUUGGGCCAAUCAGCCCAGGUUGGAAACUUUUCUUUUAUUUUCCUUAUAAUUUCAAUUAUUUUAUUUAGGUUUGAUUUCAAUAGCUCUCUCUUCCUUUUUGGUAAGAAGAUCAAAUCAACACUACUUACAAUCUAAAUGAAAAUAGGCCUCUUUAGGUUAAUUAGCCUUCAGAUUGCAAUUCGACCGAUCCCCACAAAUCUCUGUUGUCAUUUUAAUUAACUGAUUUUGUAGUGCCAAAUCUGGAAGAUUUUAGUUAAAAAUCUUCCAGAUCUGCGCUGUAAACAAGUGGUAGGUUUCUUUGGAUGUGCUUUGUAUGGUUUAGUUGGGCUCUUUGGCAGUUGGUGGUGUAGGAUUCUGCGAGGUUAGGUUUUGAAUUGUAUUUGGAGCUCAUGGUAGAUCAUCAUUGGAAGUAUGGAGUAUAGCUUCCAUUUUUCUAUUUCUUCCUCUCUAUAUUUAUUAUUGUAUUUCUAGAGCUUUGCUUCUUUAUCUAAUAAAAUUAUAUUUAAUAUAUUAAGAAAAAAGAAUGGAACAUACAACUUUGUUCAUAAGUAUUCCUAUUGUGUGCAACACCAAGGUAGCCACCUCUGUUCCUAUGUAGAUUUGCCUACUACAUGUAUAGCAUAAGGUACACUUAUGUGCCAUCCAAGGUCCUACUCAUAUGCUGGACACAAGCUAAUCUCUACCUAUCCAAUACUUGAUGGUGGAAUGCAUACAAUGCACGUGCACAAUUUAUUAUGCGGACCCUUAAAAAGAGAGUAUUUUUUUUAAGGGUGUGGUUUGUAUAAUGCUUAAACAUUAAAGUAAGGUGCACCUUCAAUUAGUAUCGAAAGAUGUUGUUUCAGUAUUGCAAAUCUUGUGAUGGCCUAAAACUUUACUUUUAUCUCUAAUUAUAAAAUUUAAAGCUUCAGAAAUAGUGGAGAUCGAACAGAUCUAUGAAUACUUGACAAUUUUGAAAAUUGAUGGUCUAGAAAUGUAUUACAAGACGUACUAUUUUUAAUACUUGAAAUUCAUAUUUACUCAUGUCCAUGCAUCUUGAGGUCGAGAUUAUCGAUUGGAGGAUUUUUUGGCAUCGAACAACCUCUUUUAGUGAAUUUUUGAGGUGAGCCUUAAUUUGAUUGUUUAAGGCCUCGCUGUUAUAUGAAUUUUUUCCUUCUUUUGUUACAUUUAAUCUAUGUUAUUUGGACACUUCAUUCUUGUUGAAGUAUUGCAUGUCUAAUACAUAUCAAUACUUGGACACACUUCCAGAGUUCCAAGAAUGAGAAUACUAAAAUGCUACAUACAGCGCAAUGAUGGCAUUUGAGAAGCAUGGAUGUACCGAUUUCAUAUGUUGUAGUGUUGUGACAACAUAUGUAAGCAUUAAUCAUUCAUGUGGUUAAUGAAGCAGAGCUCUGAGCGUUGAAGAUGGGCAUUUUGAAUCUUAAUAUUGCCUAUCCUAGGGUGUAUAUAGAGGGAGACUUGGCAAAUGUCAUCAAUGAUGCUUAGCUCCAGAUUCAAUCCCAUGGCAUACUGGCAGUCUCAUGGACGAAAUUCUAAUUCAUUUGAGAGACUUCCAUGUUGCUUUCUCGCAUGUACGACGUGGAUUUAAUUCGGAUGCUGACCGCUUGGCUAAUAUGGCUACCUCCUAGGUUUUGGUCUUUGUUGGCCUUCUUCCUGUAAUUCGUUCGUCCCCUUGUUUUCUCUCUUGGUCUCUAGAGGACCGGCUUUCUCUCCCUUCUUCUUUUCCUUCUCAUUUCCUUUUGUUGUUUAUCUUUGUGCUUUUCAUUACCUUAAUGAAGUUCACACUUACUAAAAAAAAAAACACAUGUAAGCAUAAUAAAUACGACUUAUUUAUUAUAGAAAAUAAAUAAGUCAUUAUUGACAUUGGAUAUGAAAUUGAGCACUAGAGGAUGUGUCAUUGAUUGGGCACAUAAUCCAAACGAAAAUUUCACGAAUGCUGCAACCCACUUCAAUCUAUUUGAUUUCAUAUCCAAUGACUAAAACUAAUUUUGACCUCUUGUACAAAAAGUAAAUAGUCUUAUAAUAUACAAUUCAUUUAUUAUAAUACCUUCAAGGAAAAUGAUUAUAUAAGGAUGAGGCCCUAAACAAUCAAAUUAAGGUGCACAUCAAAAAUUCACUAGAAGAGGUUGUUCUUAUACUAAAAAGACUUCAAUUCAAUCAUCUCAACCUGAAGAUGUAUGGACA